GGGGUCUUGGCACAGUGGUAGCACACAUGCUUUGUACUAUUAAUGGACUUGCAUGAGGUCAUGAAUUCAAUCCUCACAGGCUCCA